AUACGGAGGAUGCGAGCGUUAUCCGGAUUUAUUGGGUUUAAAGGGUGCGUAGGCUGUGCGUUAAGUCAGGGGUGAAAUGCCGUCGCUCAACGACGGAGCUGCCCUUGAUACUGGCGUGCUGGAGUACGGAUGCCGUUGGAGGAAUGAGUGGUGUAGCGGUGAAAUGCUUAGAUAUCACUCAGAACACCGAUUGCGAAGGCAUCUGACGAAUCCGUCACUGACGCUGAGGCACGAAAGCGUGGGGAUAGAACAGGAUUAGAUACCCUGGUAUUCCACGCCGUAAACGAUGAUGACUAACCGUCGGCGAUAGACAGCCGGUGGCCAAGCGAAAGCGAUAAGUCAUCCACCUGGGGAGUACGGCGGCAACGAUGAAACUCAAAUGAAUUGGCGGGG
rnacentral:rRNA from 1 species